GAUGAACGCUGGCGGCGUGCCUAAUACAUGCAAGUCGAGCGAAUGGAUUAAGAGCUUGCUCUUAUGAAGUUAGCGGCGGACGGGUGAGUAACACGUGGGUAACCUGCCCAUAAGACUGGGGUAACUCCGGGAAACCGGGGCUAAUACCGGAUGACAUUUUGAACCGCAUGGUUCGAAAUUGAAAGGCGGCUUCGGCUGUCACUUAUGGAUGGACCCGCGUCGCAUUAGCUAGUUGGUGAGGUAACGGCUCACCAAGGCAACGAUGCGUAGCCGACCUGAGAGGGUGAUCGGCCACACUGGGACUGAGACACGGCCCAGACUCCUACGGGAGGCAGCAGUAGGAAAUCUUCCGCAAUGGACGAAAGUCUGACGGAGCAACGCCGCGUGAGUGAUGAAGGCUUUCGGGUCGUAAAACUCUGUUGUUAGGGAAGAACAAGUGCUAGUUGAAUAAGCUGGCACCUUGACGGUACCUAACCAGAAAGCCACGGCUAACUACGUGCCAGCCGCCGCGGUAA
rnacentral:rRNA from 1 species